rnacentral:rRNA from 1 species
UACUGCGGAGGGAUCAUUACUGAGUUACCGCUCUAUAACCCUUUGUGAACAUACCUAACCGUUGCUUCGGCGGGCAGGGGAAGCCUCUCGCGGGCCUCCCCUCCCGGCGCCGGCCCCCACCACGGGGACGGGGCGCCCGCCGGAGGAAACCAAACUCUAUUUACACGACGUCUCUUCUGAGUGGCACAAGCAAAUAAUUAAAACUUUUAACAACGGAUCUCUUGGUUCUGGCAUCGAUGAAGAACGCAGCGAAAUGCGAUAAGUAAUGUGAAUUGCAGAAUUCAGUGAAUCAUCGAAUCUUUGAACGCACAUUGCGCUCGCCAGCAUUCUGGCGAGCAUGCCUGUUCGAGCGUCAUUUCAACCCUCAAGCACCGCUUGGUUUUGGGGCCCCACGGCACACGUGGGCCCUUAAAGGUAGUGGCGGACCCUCCCGGAGCCUCCUUUGCGUAGUAACUAACGUCUCGCACUGGGAUCCGGAGGGACUCUUGCCGUAAAACCCCCAAAUUUUUUACAGGUUGACCUCGGAUCAGGUAGGAAUACCCGCUGAACUUAAGCAUAUCUAG